ACUCGCUGUGAAGAUGCAGUGUACCCGCGGCAAGACGGAAAGACCCCGUGAACCUUUACUAUAGCUUGACACUGAACAUUGAGCCUUGAUGUGUAGGAUAGGUGGGAGGCUUUGAAGUGUGGACGCCAGUCUGCAUGGAGCCGGCCUUGAAAUACCACCCUUUAAUGUUUGAUGUUCUAACGUGGACCCGUGAUCCGGGUUGCGGACAGUGUCUGGUGGGUAGUUUGACUGGGGCGGUCUCCUCCUAAAGAGUAACGGAGGAGCACGAAGGUUGGCUAAUCCUGGUCGGACAUCAGGAGGUUAGUGCAAUGGCAUAAGCCAGCUUGACUGCGAGCGUGACGGCGCGAGCAGGUGCGAAAGCAGGUCAUAGUGAUCCGGUGGUUCUGAAUGGAAGGGCCAUCGCUCAACGGAUAAAAGGUACUCCGGGGAUAACAGGCUGAUACCGCCCAAGAGUUCAUAUCGACGGCGGUGUUUGGCACCUCGAUGUCGGCUCAUCACAUCCUGGGGCUGAAGUAGGUCCCAAGGGUAUGGCUGUUCGCCAUUUAAAGUGGUACGCGAGCUGGGUUUAGAACGUCGUGAGACAGUUCGGUCCCUAUCUGCCGUGGGCGCUGGAGAACUGAGGGGGGCUGCUCCUAGUACGAGAGGACCGGAGUGGACGCAUCACUGGUGUUCGGGUUGUCAUGCCAAUGGCACUGCCCGGUAGCUAAAUGCGGAAGAGAUAAGUGCUGAAAGCAUCUAAGCACGAAACUUGCCCCGAGAUGAGUUCUCCCUGAGACUUAGAGUCUCCUGAAGGAACGUUGAAGACGACGACGUUGAUAGGCCGGGUGUGUAAGCGCAGCGAUGCGUUGAGCUAACCGGUACUAAUGAACCGUGAGGCUUAACCUUACA
rnacentral:rRNA from 1 species